rnacentral:rRNA from 1 species
GGGUUGUGAGGUUAAGCGACUAAGCGUACACGGUGGAUGCCCUGGCAGUCAGAGGCGAUGAAGGGCGUGCUAAUCUGCGAUAAGCGCCGGUAAGGUGAUAUGAACCGUUAUAACCGGCGAUACCCGAAUGGGGAAACCCAGUGUGAUUCGUCACACUAUCAUUAACUGAAUCCAUAGGUUAAUGAGGCGAACCGGGGGAACUGAAACAUCUAAGUACCCCGAGGAAAAGAAAUCAACCGAGAUUCCCCCAGUAGCGGCGAGCGAACGGGGAGGAGCCCAGAGCCUGAAUCAGCAUGUGUGUUAGUGGAAGCGUCUGGAAAGGUGCGCGAUACAGGGUGACAGCCCCGUACACAAAAGCGCAUGUGCUGUGAGCUCGAUGAGUAGGGCGGGACACGUGGUAUCCUGUCUGAAUUAAGUUGCAGGGUAUAGACCCGAAACCCGGUGAUCUAGCCAUGGGCAGGUUGAAGGUUGGGUAACACUAACUGGAGGACCGAACCGACUAAUGUUGAAAAAUUAGCGGAUGACCUGUGGCUGGGGGUGAAAGGCCAAUCAAACCGGGAGAUAGCUGGUUCUCCCCGAAAGCUAUUUAGGUAGCGCCUCGUGAAUUCAUCUCCGGGGGUAGAGCACUGUUUCGGCUAGGGGGCCAUCCCGGCUUACCAACCCGAUGCAAACUGCGAAUACCGGAGAAUGUUAUCACGGGAGACACACGGCGGGUGCUAACGUCCGUCGUGAAGAGGGAAACAACCCAGACCGCCAGCUAAGGUCCCAAAGUCAUGGUUAAGUGGGAAACGAUGUGGGAAGGCCCAGACAGCCAGGAUGUUGGCUUAGAAGCAGCCAUCAUUUAAAGAAAGCGUAAUAGCUCACUGGUCGAGUCGGCCUGCGCGGAAGAUGUAACGGGGCUAAACCAUGCACCGAAGCUGCGGCAGCGAACGUAUCACCCAAGACAACUUUACGGAGUUGACGAUUGACGGAGCGAAGCGACGUCAAAGCGUUCAUUAAAGUCGAGUUGGCUUAGGGAUACGUUCGUUGGGUAGGGGAGCGUUCUGUAAGCCUGUGAAGGUGUGUCGUGAGGCAUGCUGGAGGUAUCAGAAGUGCGAAUGCUGACAUAAGUAACGAUAAAGCGGGUGAAAAGCCCGCUCGCCGGAAGACCAAGGGUUCCUGUCCAACGUUAAUCGGGGCAGGGUGAGUCGACCCCUAAGGCGAG